UGCGUGGGCGGCUUUUUAAGUCGGAUGUGAAAUCCCUGAGCUUAACUUAGGAAUUGCAUUCGAUACUGGGAAGCUAGAGUAUGGGAGAGGAUGGUAGAAUUCCAGGUGUAGCGGUGAAAUGCGUAGAGAUCUGGAGGAAUACCGAUGGCGAAGGCAGCCAUCUGGCCUAAUACUGACGCUGAGGUACGAAAGCAGUGGGAGCAAACA
rnacentral:rRNA from 1 species